ACAGAUAUGGAAACUGAGCCCUCACACAUGGACUGAAUUCUGACAAGCAGAGGAUAAAGGCAGAACAACAUGACUGAAGGCGAUGAGGAACAGCUGAUCACCUGUGGAAGUCAUUUGUCCUAAAUUGUCAUGGACAGACCAUGUGCCUUACAGCAAGAAAAUUCUGUGAAUAAACAGGAAGCCAGCCAGCCAGGGAAGAUGCUUUUGUGAUAUAUCCCAGCAUGCUGAUGACCCCAAGGAGGACCACUGGAUACCUAGCAAGGAGCUGGCUGCAGCAUACCAUGAAUCCUCACAGCAACUUAAUGAGAUACUGGCCUCAGAACUGGGAGUAGCUUCUUGUUUGGACCAAUCCUUUGCCUCCUUCCAGUGUGCUCAUUGAGAUAUUGGAAACCAUGUCUAGAUUCUCCCAUUGAGAAGCAUUUCUGUGAGCUCUGGAAGUCAGGUGAAAAGGAGAAGUCAUAAUCUAUGGCAGCAGCUAUGGGAAGGAAAAAGAAGAACUGAUUGAAGAGUGGCAACCAGAACCUCUUGUUCCUCCUGUCCCAAAAGACCAUCCUGCUCUCAACUACAACAUCGUUUCAGGAAAAACAUCAAGAAAAGGGCAGUAAGAAUGUUAUUUAAAAAUAUGGAGGUAAAUUUCAGAAGAAAAUGCCGAAAAUGUUUGCCUUUGGAAAACGAGAAU
rnacentral:lncRNA from 10 species